rnacentral:tRNA from 1 species
AAGAAUUUAGUUAAUAAAUAACAUUAACUUGUCAAGUUAAAAUAAUCUUCAAGAUAAUUCUUG